ensembl:lncRNA novel transcript
UAAAGACCUCUUUGACCUGAACAGCUGUGAAGAGGACGACACCGAGGGAUUCUUGGAAAGAGGGAUACUGGGGCCCCUGAGCACUCGGCAUGGGGUGGAAGAGGAUAAAGAGGACAAGGAGGAGGGCGAGGAGGACAGCAGCAACUUGGAGGAUGGAGACCCAGACGCAGAGGCGGGGCUGGCCCCUGGGGAGCUGCAGCGGCUGGCCCAGGGGCCGGAGGAUGAGCUGGAGGAUCUGCAGCUCUCAGAGGAGGACUGAGGCAGCCCAUCUGGGGGGCCUGUAGGGGCUGCCGGGCUGGUGGCCAGUGUUUCCACCUCUCAGGCCUAGAGGCUGGCGUCUGUGCAGUUGGGGGAGGCAGUAGACAGGGGACAGGCUUUAAUAUUUAUUUUUCAGCAUGAACGACCAAACUUACCGAGAGCUAGGCUGGGCUGGCGUGGCUGCUGAAGCCCCACAGUUGUGGGCUGUUGAAGUCAGCUCCGCGGGGGAGCUGACCUUGACGUCAGCUGACGGAGACCAGUCCCAGUUCCAGGGGGAGGCCUGCAGGUCCCUGGCCCCUUCCACCACCUCUGCCCUCCGUCUGCAGACCUUGUCCGUCCGCACCAGGCUCUGCAUUCACUCCCCCAAGUCUUUGGAAAUUUGUUCCUUUCCUUUCAAGUCACAUUUUCCUUUAAACUUUUUUGUUUUGCGUCUAAAACUGAAAGAAAGAAAGCUGUGGGAGGCAGGGCCAUUGUAAAAAAAAAAAAAAAAAAAA